rnacentral:rRNA from 1 species
GAGGUUAAGCGACUAAGCGUACACGGUGGAUGCCCUGGCAGUCAGAGGCGAUGAAGGACGUGCUAAUCUGCGAUAAGCGCCGGUAAGGUGAUAUGAACCGUUAUAACCGGCGAUUUCCGAAUGGGGAAACCCAGUGUGACUCGUCACACUAUCAUUAACUGAAUCCAUAGGUUAAUGAGGCGAACCGGGGGAACUGAAACAUCUAAGUACCCCGAGGAAAAGAAAUCAACCGAGAUUCCCCCAGUAGCGGCGAGCGAACGGGGAGGAGCCCAGAGCCUGAAUCAGCAUGUGUGUUAGUGGAAGCGUCUGGAAAGGCGCGCGAUACAGGGUGACAGCCCCGUACACAAAAGCGCAUAUGCUGUGAGCUCGAUGAGUAGGGCGGGACACGUGGUAUCCUGUCUGAAUAUGGGGGGACCAUCCUCCAAGGCUAAAUACUCCUGACUGACCGAUAGUGAACCAGUACCGUGAGGGAAAGGCGAAAAGAACCCCGGCGAGGGGAGUGAAAAAGAACCUGAAACCGUGUACGUACAAGCAGUGGGAGCACCCUU